AGUGACUAUUUUUAACUCUGAGGAAUGCGUGUCACAGAAACUAGAUCUACAGAUUGAAUGGAUUGAUUAAAGGUUACCAGUGUUAAUCAAAUGCUAAUUUAACUAUAAGAGGACUAAGUCUAACUCCUGACUUAUGAUGCCAGGAUAUUUCAUUCAUAUUUGGCUUUUUUUCUUUGCUGUAUUUGUGAGAGAAAGUAAAGUCGAAGAAGUGAAGAAGGGCCUAUACAGUCGUGUUGAGCUCACUGGAGAGAAACUUGAUCAACACACUGCUGAUUCUCUGAAGUCAGUGGAAUGGACCAAACGAAAUAGAUCGACAACAUGUCAAUGUUUUAGACAAACAAUUACCAAAUCCAGUGUUUCAUACAGUCAAUGCUGUGGAACGGCUCGUUUCUAUUUAAACAAUAACACCCUGAUUCUGGAGAACGUGACAGAAAGGGAUGAAGGAGUCUUCACUGAAACUAUAGUAACAGCAAAUGGAACUGUAAAACACCUAAAUUUUACAUUAAUUAUUCAAUAUCCUCCAAAUGCAACAGGAAUUGUGGUCUCCUGGACCUCCAGCACAUCUGUGACUCUCAAAUGUGAAGUGAGCGGUUUAUUUCAGCAUCUGAUGUGGAAGAGAGAAGGAGUCUCUAUUCUAGAGAAACACAGACAUUCGUUCAGUGAGAGAAACCAAACUCUACACAUCAGCAACAUAACCAGCUCCGAGUACGGCUCGUACAGCUGUAUUGCUUCAAAUGCAUAUGGAGAAUCAGAAAAGCACACAUAUAUUACCGGAAAUGGCACUAGAGAUGAAACUCAGUCUGAUCAAACUGUGCUUUCAAGUGGACUUACACUCACUUGUGUUUUGGGACUGUGCCUCGUGUUCUACUGCCUUUACAAAUACCACCACAGCGAUGCAGACAAGGUCCAUGGAAUUUAUCAGAAAGUACCUGACUCUGAAGAGCUGACUUCCGUCUUGUACGUCUACACAGACUUCAUUAAGCCGAGAGCGAGCAGUCAGGCCUCCGCUGCAGCACAACACUUUCAGGAGUCUGGUUACUCUGAGGUCGGACCCACAGACAGGGAAGAAACCGUUGUUAUGUUUUGGGUCACUAAUGAUCAGGCCACAGCACGUCCUGAAGCUGGAGAGGACAAAUUAUGUUCUGAAAUAUUACAUUAAAUAAUAAAAAAAUGCUUUUCACAUUCUGCAAAUGCUGAGGUCAUUGUUUAGCAUUAUUUGUAUUAAGUGGCAUUUAUUCAUGUUUUGUAAAGCACAGCGUUUUAAAAGUUUCAGUUCAGGGUUGUAUUAUUAAUGUAUUAUUCUCCUGCGAUCAGCACUAUAAAUCUGUAGCAGAGGGCCAGAAAUCCAACACACCGCCUGCUUCACGUACAGCCACUGCUGAAUUAGAAAGACUCACUUUGGACUGAAGUCUCCUUCAUGGUCUUUUUUCAUACAUCCUGUUUCAUUCUUAGCUGUUGUGUCACCAGCUGAAGCUGUGAAGUUACAUUGUAUUCUCAGAAUGUGUGAAUUCUUCAUAUGUUUAUGUCUAGCAGACUUGUUUUAAAAGGUAAAACCAGAGGAUGAUGGGUUUUCCCUUGUUUGACUUUACUUAUUACAUUAACAGAUGUUUUAUAUCACUUUUUUUCAUUAUGUAUCAGAGGAUUCAGACUCUAGCUUUUAUUAGUACAUAUAAUAUUAAAUAACAGUAGGUACUGUAUUAAUAUCUAGUAAAAAUAAUACUAAAUUAAACUGAUUCAACACUAUCCACCGUAAGACAUCUGAUGAUUUAGCACAACAAGAUGACAUUAUAGCGAUAAUCAGUUUUAUACAUUUAAAUAAUCUGCUGUCAAUUUGUCUUUUUCGUGAAUUAGUAAUUUAUCUUAUAUAUACAAUAUGAAACAUGUAUAUGAGUUGUUGUCUCUAUUGUAUUAUCUGAAUAAGACUAGCCCUGCCUUCUUCCUUGUUCUAACCGCUUUAUAUUUUCCUGUCGUGGUUUUUAGUGACUACUUUUUUACUCUGAGGUGACAGUUUAAACUCCGGGUUCAUUAAAGCGUGUCACAGAAACUAGAUCUACACGUCUGAAUGGAUUGAUUAAAGGUUACCAGUGUUAAUCAAAUGCUAAUUUAACUAUAAGAGGACUAAGUCUAACUCCUGACUUAUGAUGCCAGGAUAUUUCAUUCAUAUUUGGCUUUUUUUCUUUGCUGUAUUUGUGAGAGAAAUUAAAGUUGAAGAAGUGAAGAAGGGCCUAUACAGUCGUGUUGAGCUCACUGGAGAGAAACUUGAUCAACACACUGCUGAUUCUCUGAAGUCAGUGGAAUGGACCAAACGAAAUAGAUCGACAACAUGUCUAUGUUUUAGACUAACAAUUACCAAAUCCAGUGUUUCAUACAGUCAAUGCUGUGGAACGGCUCGUUUCUAUCUAAACAACAACACCCUGAUUCUGGAGAACGUGACAGAAAGGGAUGAAGGAGUUUUCAUUGAAACUAUAGAUACAGGAGAUAGAACUAAAGAAUGGCUAAAUGUUACAUUAACUAUUCAAUAUCCUCCAAAUGCAACAGGAAUUGUGGUCUCCUGGACCUCCAGCACAUCUGUGACUCUCAAAUGUGAAGUGAGCGGUUUAUUUCAGCAUCUGAUGUGGAAGAGAGAAGGAGUCUCUAUUCUAGAGAAACACAGACAUUCGUUCAGUGAGAGAAACCAAACUCUACACAUCAGCAACAUAACCAGCUCCGAGUACGGCUCGUACAGCUGUAUUGCUUCAAAUGCAUAUGGAGAAUCAGAAAAGCACACAUAUAUUACCGGAAAUGGCACUAGAGAUGAAACUCGGUCUGAUCAAACUGUGCUUUCAAGUGGACUUACACUCACUUGUGUUUUGGGACUGUGCCUCGUGUUCUACUGCCUUUACAAAUACCACCACAGGCACAGAGCAGAAAAUGGCAAAACUACAGAUGGAGGGGAAGCAGCCAUUGACCUUGGUAUUUAUCAGGAAAUACCUGACUUUGGAGAGGUGACUCCUUUACCGUGCGUCUACACAGACUUCAUUAAGCCGAGAGAGAGCAGUCAGGCCUCCGCUGCAGCGCAACACUUUGAGGAGUCUGGUUACUCUGAGGUCGGACCCUCCUGCAGGGAACCUGUCUCUAAUGAAGAGUCCACAGCGUGUCCCGAAGCUGGAGAGGAAUGACAACUGAAAUAAGAGACUGCAAAACCAACGAAUACUAACUUACUUUAGUGUAGUGCAAUUUAGAAGUGCUACUGAUUUAUAAGCAGCGGGUGAAAAGCACGUUACACCCUGAUCAACCACUAGAGGGCAGCAAAACCGCUGGAAACAUACUCAGAAAAAAAUUUCACUGGAGUGGUACAAAGCUAAAAGGUGCUACCGUGUACCUUAUUUACCCCUACUUGGUGCAUGCUAGUACCUUAAAUUUACAUAUUAGUUUUUUAAAAGUACACCUUUUGCAUGGGUACCGUCACUAACCCCUCCCUAAUUUUUGCGAGUGUAGUAGCUCUACACUUUUAACCAUAAAUGGUUUCCAAUUAUUACAAAGAUAUAUUUGGAUGGACAAUGCAUCUUAAAAAUAAUAUAAUAUAAUAAGUUUCACGAUUACAAUUACAUUCAAUAAAGAUCAUUAUGAAAAAUAGCAACAUGUUUCCUCUCUUGCACUUGGCACUGGAUCAUGUACUGUAUAGCUUGAACACACUAUAUAGACUUGAUAAGUACAUAAUAAAAUGACUAAAUUGAGCACUUCAGCUGCUUGCAAUAAUGCAAAGGAAGCAAUGCUUAAAGUGGCACUUAAGUAUGCAAACUUUGAGAGGUUGUAAGUGUCCACCCUACACAGUUACUGUCAUGCACAGUCAUAGAUAAAUGAUUUCAGAACAAAGUGGUUUGUCUUGCAUGACAAACUCUUUUAAAGGUUCCGUUUAUCAAUUAUGACAUAUCAUAGAAUCAGCAGCAGGUUAACUGAUGUUAAAACACAAAUCUAGAUGUCAGUAUAGAGGUGAACUCUCACAGUGCACAAAAAGAGCUGUCAAUCUUCUGAAGAGUGUAAAUGUCUCAUCAAACCUUUUAUUUACAUUUUAUAAGUACCUUCAUGUAUACCUAAAGCAAUGUUUUUAUUGAGAUUCCUCAAAGCAACCGGGAAUACAUACUGCAACAGGAUGCAAAGAAUAGUUUCCUUUCUUUGGUUUCUCCUUCCAGAAAUCCAAAAACAUAGAGUGAAAAAUAAAUAAAUAAAAUAAAACUAUAAAACAUGAACUACACUUUUUCUAAGUGUGCUUAAACUGUUACACCCAUGGAAUGCUGGGAAAUGAUACCUACAAACAGAAGGGGGAUGUAAGUGUUUAAUAAUUUAACUUUAAUCUCCUGUGAUAUAAAUAGAAAAAACAGAGAGGUUUGGGGGACAGUGUUAAUUAAAGCUCUCCUAUACAACUACAAUAAGUGCAAACAGAUAUUUAUAUACUGUACAAAAUUGCACAUAUCAUUUGGAAUUCAGGACAAAUAAUAACGUGUGGAAAAUAAUUUGCAUCACUUGUUUGGGGAUAAAUAAAUCACAAAGCGAACUCAGACACAGACGCUCCAGAACAAAGGACUAAAUGCAAUGCAGGUUUCAGGAAUUAAACAUUUGAGAUUUGUGGAAUAAACAGAUGCACUCUGAUCCGAAGGUUGAAUAUUAGUGAUUAAGCACUAUCUGGCAACCCUGAGACAAAAACAACCCCAUUUCAGCACAUUUGACUAAGCUGAACAUUCACUUGGACUUAAUGAACCAAAUCAGACUAUGAGCACCAUAAGGCUCCAGAGAGCCAGUUCAAGUGCGUACAAUCUGCAGGGUUUUGUUUUUCAUUAAAGCUACAGCAUCAGUAUUUGAGAUUCUCUUUUGAUUACCCAAUAAUACAAAUAGAUUUAAAUGCAAAUAUUUUUAACAAAAAGGGUACCCCCCCCCCCCCCCAGGUCCCACGAGAUAUUCUCACGAUCCAUUGUGUGCAUUACUAAAUUAAUAAAAUGAUAUGCUACAGAUGAUAGAACAACCACACUGAAUAAGGAGAAAAACUACACAUGUAGAAGAGAAGGAAAUAAUUUCACAGCAUUUAAAAUGUUCAAUUUAUAUUCUGAUAGUCACUGAUGCCAUCCAUGGUUUACAUUGUCAUAAUAACAUAUACAUUAUCUAUUGUUAUUUAACGAAAUUUCAUAUUACACCAUUAAAAUCUCCACUUUGA